rnacentral:rRNA from 1 species
UACAGAGGGGGCAAGCGUUGUUCGGAAUUACUGGGCGUAAAGGGCGCGUAGGCGGCCUACUAAGUCGAACGUGAAAUCCCCGGGCUCAACCCGGGAACUGCGUCCGAUACUGGUUGGCUUGAAUCCGGGAGAGGGAUGCGGAAUUCCAGGUGUAGCGGUGAAAUGCGUAGAUAUCUGGAGGAACACCGGUGGCGAAGGCGGCAUCCUGGACCGGCAUUGACGCUGAGGCGCGAAAGCCAGGGGAGCAAACGGG